rnacentral:rRNA from 1 species
GCGAGAUCGAGAGAUGGAGCAAAUCCCAAAAAUAACGUCCCAGUUCGGACUGUAGUCUGCAACCCGACUACACGAAGCUGGAAUCGCUAGUAAUCGCGGAUCAGAAUGCCGCGGUGAAUACGUUCCCGGGUCUUGUACACACCGCCCGUCACACCAUGGGAGUCAGUAACGCCCGAAGUCAGUGACCUAACCGAAAGGGAGGAGCUGCCGAAGGCGGGACGGAUGACUGGGGUGAAGUCGUAACAAGGUAGC